rnacentral:rRNA from 1 species
GACGAACGCUGGCGGCGUGCUUAACACAUGCAAGUCGAACGAGAUCCAACCGGUGGCAACACUGGUGAAGAUCUAGUGGCGAACGGGUGAGUAACACGUGAGCAACCUGCCCCGAAGACCGGGAUAACAGCGGGAAACCGCUGCUAAUACCGGAUGUCCCCAUCGGACCACAUGGCCUGAUGAGGAAAUGGAUUCCGCUUCGGGAGGGACUCGCGGCCUAUCAGCUUGUUGGUGAGGUAACGGCCCACCAAGGCGACGACGGGUAGCUGGUCUGAGAGGACGAUCAGCCACACUGGGACUGAGACACGGCCCAGACUCCUACGGGAGGCAGCAGUGGGGAAUCUUGCGCAAUGGGCGAAAGCCUGACGCAGCAACGCCGCGUGAGGGAUGAAGGCCUUCGGGUUGUAAACCUCUUUCAAGCAGGGACGAUAAUGACGGUACCUGCAGAAGAAGCUCCGGCCAACUACGUGCCAGCAGCCGCGGUAAUACGUAGGGAGCGAGCGUUGUCCGGAUUCAUUGGGCGUAAAGAGCUCGUAGGCGGCUUGAUAAGUCGGAUGUGAAACCUCCAGGCUCAACCUGGAGUCGCCAUCCGAUACUGUCA